AAGCAUGUUUCAGGAGACGGCAUAGUAUAGCAUCUAUCUUGGGUACUGUUAUCUUAGAUAUGUUUAUCUUGGUGCUGUUGUCAUGCACAAAAUACUUUUAUACUUUUGCCACCGAAGGCGUAUGCACCCUGCCAAUCGCUCAGGUAAAAGGACUGAAACACUCAC
rnacentral:ncRNA from 1 species